rnacentral:rRNA from 1 species
AUUGAACGCUGGCGGCAGGCCUAACACAUGCAAGUCGAACGCGGGGCAGAGGGGUGUGUAAUGUCUGGGACACUGCCUGAUGGCGGGGGAUAAUUACGGGAAACGGUAGCUAAUACCGCAUACCAUCAGCUGUUCCCUGAUGGGAUUAGCUAGUUGCUGGGGUAACGGCUCACCAAGGCGACGAUCCAUAGCGGGUCUGAGAGGAUGACCAGCCACACUGGAACUGAGACACGGGCCAGACUCCUACGGGAGGCAGCAGUGGGGAAUAUUGCACAAUGGGCGAAAGCCUGUCGCAGCCAGGCCGCGUGUAUGAAGAAGGCCUUCGGGUUGUAAAAUACUUUUAGCAGGGAGGCGGUACCUGCAGAAGAAGCAACGGCUAACUCCGUGCCAGCAGCCGCGGUAAUAC